CAAGAGCACUUCACAAGGGCUAUUAUAGCAAAGAAAUCGCUGGGUCUGCAAUUCUGGAUCAAAGGACACAGAAAAGAUGAUGGAGUUAGAGCUUCCGUACAGCAGAGUCUUAGGAGUGGUGCGGCGCCAUCCUGUACCACAAAUCAUGCGAAGAAUGAUGGGUGGUGUAAUCCUAUGCUAGCUAGAGUGCUAGACUGAUUUCAGAAACUCUUGGAGCUCAUCUUUUGGCCUGAAACACCAAGAACUAACCUGCCACAGCAGUGACUACUGAUUAAUACAAUGGAGUUCAUUUGAUCCAUCUGAUAAAAUACCUAUUGGGGAAUAAGCGUGAAAAGUAAUCACCCACUCUUUCCGGAGUGGAAUUCAGGUAUGCCUGCUCAUCUAUUUAUUUGACUGUUGUUAUAGAUAGAUUCAUCCGGGUCUGAAAUGUUAAUGGAGUUGUUUCAUUCCUCACACAAUCCCUUUCAAUUGGAUCAGUUCUCCUUUUUGAAUUACUCUAUAUUCCAUACAUAUAUGUUUAUUAUGUUCAUCGAGACUGCAAGACAUUUAUUUUGUUGAUAUUACCUUCAAGGGAACAUGGUACCUACGAUGCAGGAGGACUAUUGGAAAUCAGUUUUAAAUUUAAUCAAGUGUAUACUUCUCUUUUGUCUCUUCCGCAGCCAUGAUGUUAAGAAGUUCAGUGUAGGCAGGAAAAAAAAUCUUGAACAAGUACUCUGAUGAUGGCAAGAAGCAUAAUGUUAAAUGAACUGGGUAAUGUUGAGGUUGAUGAUAGCAUGCUUGUGAGUUUUUUAAUCUAAAGCAAGGGUGAGCGCCAAGGAAGGAGGCGCCGCCACGGGCGACGGUGGCGGGGUUGGCCGCUGGCGGCUGCAAUAUUUAAUCAUUGUUGUCAACAUUGGCACACAGGAUUUAGUGGAAGGAAGGUUUUGGGCCAUCAGAUUUCCCUGAGAAUCAAGGGAAAGGAAGAGGAAAGGAAAAUGUUGAUACAUGCUCUGUUGCAAGUGUUUAUGUCGCGCAGAAACUUUAAUCUAUUGUGCAGAAUACAUUUCUUCAGAGAAACCGUUGGUCGUGUGCAGAAUAUAUUUCUUCAGAAAAUGUGUUAUUGUGCAGAAACUACAAUGAAGUUGUUGGGGAGAAGAUCCAGUGAACUCGGCUACAUCGGGUUGGGUCAAAGUUACUGGUCCUUCGAACGGUCUAUUGUGCGUCGAAAGUCACGUUCAUCUCUGGCAAAUUCCACCGUAGCCUCGGUCGUACAUGUGCUUCGAUCUAUUUUCGUAUUCUUUUCUUGGGUGUUUGACAAAUGCUUCACAAACUAAGCUCAUGUUAAACAUGCACAACUAUUAAUUCGCAACAGCAGUGCCACGGUUCAGUUCAGCAUGGGGACCAACUACCUCUACAAUGUCCACUCCUAUUGGUCUCUGACCUGUCAAACAAGAAGAGAUGGUGCAGCUAGCUGCUGAAAAGGAGAUGACCGUGGUCCUAUUGACAAGAGGAGAUGACGAAGACGCAGCAGACCAAGCCUUUGCGUUCUCCAGUCUCAUGCACAAGGAGUUUCGCAAGAUGGCCAAUGUUGUUAGGAACCAGGUCACUCGCAACUACUACAUGGCUGACUUGACCAAACCCGCUCUUGCAAGACUUCAAUUUACUGCAACCUGGUAAAUUUUUUUUUGAAAAGGAGGUUACUGCAACCUGGUAAAUGAUGAGUAUAAUGAAUGAUGCGCUCAUUACACUGGUUGUGCGAGUAGGUUCAACAUUUGUACCGCAUGACUAUGUUUCCAGAA